rnacentral:rRNA from 1 species
UACGUAGGGUGCGAGCGUUGUCCGGAAUUACUGGGCGUAAAGAGCUCGUAGGUGGUUUGUCGCGUUGUUCGUGAAAACUCACAGCUUAACUGUGGGCGUGCGGGCGAUACGGGCAGACUGGAGUACUGCAGGGGAGACUGGAAUUCCUGGUGUAGCGGUGGAAGUGCGCAGAUAUCAGGAGGAACACCGGUGGCGAAGGCGGGUCUCUGGGCAGUAACUGACGCUGAGGAGCGAAAGCGUGGGGGAGCGAACAGG